CUCUACUGUAGUUCUAACCCUAAUGGCACCAGGACCCAUCUAACCUUGGAAGCUAAGCAAGGCCAGUCCUAUUUCAAACUUGCAUAGGAGAUUGCCAAAGAAUAUUAGGUACUGUCAGCU
rnacentral:rRNA from 11 species